GGGGGCGCGCGCGUGCGCGGGGCGGGACGGACGCGCUCCCGGCGGAGGAGGCCGCGCGCCUGGGGACGGGCUGGAGCCACGUCGCGGAUUUGGAGGCGCUGUGGGCGCCUCAUCCGCCGCUGCUCGGCACCGGAGGCCAAGUGAGCGUUCCCGACGGGCUCCGCGGAUGCCCCGCUGCGUCCUGCCGCCCAUCCUGCCCGGAUUGUCGCGGGCCGGAGGCACGACAGGAGGCCGGGGCCUGCUCGGGCGCAGCGGCCUGCAGGGCGCAGCCGUCCCUCCGCCGGCCGGGGUCCCCUCGCUCCGCGGGCGGCCGUGGGAGGCCCUCGCGACGGCCACUGCCCCCCGCAGAUGCCCUCUGCAGCUCCUGCUUGCGGUCCCCGCUCUGUACUGCCCUCCUAGUGUGGGACGCGGUUUCGUCUUCAUUGCAGCCCUGUCGAGUCGGAAGCAUCUCCGUUGUGCGGAUGCAGAAACUGAGGCCUAGAGCGCGCAGUUGGGCUGGCCACAAAGGCAGGGCCGCCGGAUGCUGUGCGGGGAUGGGGUCCUGCACCCCUUGCGCCUCUCAGCAUGCGGCGUCAGGCCCCUGGGCCCGGCAGCGUCUCUGGAGUGGGCAUUUUGAACGAGCGCCCUCCUGAUUUUCACACAAACCUAAGCUUGACGACCAUGCUGGGGCGGAUGUCUGCCCCUCUGGUGACCAGCUCACAGCUCCCUCGGGAAGACGAUUGAAUGGGGAAUGGGGACCCUGGGGAGGGGGCCUUCAUGGUUCCAUCUGUCUGUUUACGCCAGAAAACAGAGAUUUCUGUUUUCUUUAGCUGGGCUCACAGCAGGUGCUUAAUAAACAGAUCUUGUGGCGGAGCAGAGGCCAGCGGGAUUCAGGCAAGACUCCAGGACUCAACCCCUGGAUCUGGGAGGCUCCCCACCCACGCACAUUUGCCUGACUUAACCCUCCCCUCCCCAGUCUUUCUCUCAGCCCUUGGAGGGGAGGCCCCCUUUCCACCCAGGUGGCCCCUGUGGGGGUCACUGCCUGGUUUUCACCCUGAACUUCUGGGAUGCGACAGAUGCAGGAUGUGUUCGCUGGUGUCCUUCCGUGAUCCCCGUCUGUGGCUGACACCAUCUUUGGCCCAACAUGACCGCAGCCAGAGCCAACGGGAAUCAUUUCUUUUUCCAUUUAACAUCCUAUAUUAUUACUUGGCUCUUCGCAUUCAUUAAUUCAUUCAGCAGCUCCUCGUGGAGCUUUGGCCUUAGCCCAUGCACUGUGGAAGUGGCAGUGAACUAAGCCAACCUGGCACUUUGGGAGGCUGAGGUGGGAGGACUGCUUGAGCCCAAAAGUUGGAGACUAGCCUGGGCAACAUCUCAUCUCUACAACAAGUAAAAAACUAGCCAGGCAUGGUGGCACGCACCUGUGGUCCCAGCUACUCAGGAGGCUGAGGUGGGAGGAUCCCUUAAGUGCAGGAGGUCAAGGCAGCAGUGAGCCAUGAUUUUGCCACUGCACUCCAGCCUGGACAACAAAGCAAGACCCUGUCUCAAAGGAAAAAAAAAAGGAGACAGACAACAUACAUGUUGGAGAAAACGGAACAGCCACUGGAGGGACGUCUUUAGCUGGGAGUCAGGGAUACCUCCCUCAGAAGGUGAUAUUUUUGAGCUAAAAUCUGGCUGACAAGCAGCAGUGAGUUGUGCAGAGGAAGGGGGAAGAGCGUCCCAGGGAGAGAAAAUGGCAGUGCAAAGGCCCAGAGGUGGGAGCAUGCGUGGUGUUUGAGGAAUCAAGAAGGCCAUGAGCAGCCGGGUGUGGUGGCUCACGCCUGUAAUCCCAGCGCUUUGGGAGGCCAAGAUGGGUGGGUCACUUGAGAUCAGGAGUUUAAGGCCAGUCUGGCCCAUAUGGUGAAACCUCAUCUCUACUAAAAAUACAAACAUUAGCUGGGCGCGGUGGCUCACAUCUGUAAUCCCAGCACUUUGGGAGGCCGAGGCGGGCGGAUCACAAGGUCAGGAGAUCAAGACCAUCCUGGAGAACACGGUGAAACCCCGUUUUUACUAAAAAUACAAAAAAUUAGCCAGUCGUGGUGGCAGGUGCCUAUAGUCCCAGCUACUCGGGAGGCUGAGAAGGAGAAUGGUGUGAACCCCGGAGGCAGAGGUUGCAGUGGGCCAAGAUUGUGCCACUGCACUCCAGCCUGGGCAACAAAGCCAGACUUUGUCUCCAAAAAAAAAAAAAAA
ensembl:lncRNA